rnacentral:rRNA from 1 species
AUUGAACGCUGGCGGCAGGCCUAACACAUGCAAGUCGAGCGAGCGGCGGACGGGUGAGUAAUGUAUGGGGACUGACCGAUAGAGGGGGAUAACUUCUGGAAACGGUAGCUAAUACCGCAUACUAUCGGAUAACCCAUAUGGGAUUGGCUAGUAGGUGAGUUAAUGGCUCACCUAGGCAACGAUCCCUAGCUGGUCUGAGAGGAUGAUCAGCAACACUGGGACUGGGAAACGGCCCAGACUCCUACGGAGGAAGAAGUGGGAAAUAUUGCACAAUGAGCGCAAGCCUGAUGCAGCACGGCGGCGUGUAUGAAGAGGGCCCUAGAGUUGUAAAGUACUUUCAGACGGGAGACGUUACCGACAGAGGAAGCACCGGCUAACUCCGUGCCAGCAGCCGCGGUAAUAC